GUUAAUUAUUUGUACAAUUUGUCUAAUUUAUUUCAAGAAAAGAAGAAAGCUGGACGUCCUCAGUUGAGUCUGAUAGGUUCUAAGCUCUGUCCUUGGCAUUGAGCACUCUCUGCAGCUCGGGAGUCAACGGAUCUGUAUUCUGACUUUGACCCGUUAUAAGAUUUGCUGAGGAUUGACUACGUCAUGGAUGGCUUUAAACACGUAAUGCUGCAUAUGGGAGCUGAUGAUCCCAAUUUCUACACCAACUUCAUGUGGAAGUCAUUUGACGCAUUUCUCGUACGUGCUCGGGAAAGUGCCAGAACAGGUGACGGCGUAAAAAAUUGUUUCUUCACUCUGUACAAAUACGAAAAGAUAUGCCAGCAAUUUGUAGAAAUCAAUGAAGUGAGCGGGUUGCCUCCGGAUGGUUAUUUCUCCAAUUAUUAUUUCUCCAAUUUCUCCAAUUCACACGGGUCCUUUGCGCUCGCCAUGAGCACAGCGACACGAGAUGAUGCCGUCCGCACUGUGUCCGUGAUGUUCGCACCCUCUCAGCCGAAAGAUCUUCUCGAUAUCAUCCGCCUUCCGAGUGACUUCAUCAUGUCGAUUCAAACUCAUCGCUCCCGCCAAUCGAAAUGGAUAACUGUUCGCCUACCAGCCCUUAAUAAACGUCAAUCAAAAACGCACAGCCACUUUGAAAUUGAAAUAUCACGCUUAUACGGUCCUGUGUUGUGUAUGGUUUCCACCAAAGGUAGAGAGGAGUUUGGGUUUUCUAUCUUGGUAGAACAUCCUAUCAACGUUGCAGUGCGAGUGAGUGCUGUGACUCAGGAUGGAAAGAGACGCAUAUCUAUCCCGUAUAGAUUUCCGUUUCUAUUCUGAAACCAUUAUUGAUAUAGACUUGCCCUGCCCCGCCUAGCCUAGCAGGUGCGAGCUCACUGCUUUCUUCCAUUGCUCUCAAAACAAACGUGAGCGCACCUUUACUGGUACCUCCCUCCUAUUGUAAGUCUCGCUCCUCUCCUACCCUUCUACCCGUACUUGUACAUCUGUCCCGCUUGAUUUUCUCUACUCACCAGUCUAUCGACAAACUUCCCCAUCAUCAUUAUCCGUAGUUUUCACGACGCGUAGCCCAUGCAAUGAGCGGUCUAUCACUCACGGCUGGGCGCACCGCAUUGACACAUUUGAAUAGCCACGAGUUGGUAUCAUCUGUCCUCGUCCAUUUGUUAUCUCGUGCAGUUCAGUGAUGAACCCCUCCUGAUGCAAUCUAAUGUUCCAUAGCUGAAACUUAUAUUUUGGCAGAAGCGCUAGAAUGUAAAUCUCAGCCGCCUUGCAAUUUUGCUGCUGAUGUUGUUGUCUUGUUGAUUACAGUUAACAUUUUUUUAUUUUUCACAAAAAAACACUUAAAUGCCAACAAAAAUGCUGGUGUAGUAUCCCUACCUGGCUAGUGCCUUGCUUGAUUGUAGCGUA